GACGAACGCUGGCGGCGUGCCUAAUACAUGCAAGUCGAACGAGAGCAACCGGUGCUUGCCCUGGUCAAUCUAGAGGCGAACGGGUGAGUAACACGUGGGUAACCUGCCCAUCAGAGGGGGAUAACAUCCGGAAACGGAUGCUAAAACCGCAUAGGUCUUCGAACCGCAUGGUUUGAAGAGGAAAAGAGGCGCAAGCUUCUGCUGAUGGCUGGACCCGCGGUGCAUUAGCUAGUUGGUGAGGUAACGGCUCACCAAGGCCGUGAUGCAUAGCCGACCUGAGAGGGUGAUCGGCCACAUUGGGACUGAGACACGGCCCAGACUCCUACGGGAGGCAGCAGUAGGGAAUCUUCCGCAAUGGACGCAAGUCUGACGGAGCAACGCCGCGUGAGUGAAGAAGGUUUUCGGAUCGUAAAACUCUGUUGUUAGAGAAGAACAAGUGCUAGAGUAACUGUUAGCGCCUUGACGGUAUCUAACCAGAAAGCCACGGCUAACUACGUG
rnacentral:rRNA from 1 species